CAAAUGUAAUGGCAUGUCGUUGACCCUGGUGCUCAGCAACACAUAUUUCAAAUCCCUGAAGAUUAAUAGGGAAGAUGCUUACAGCUCUCACAACAGCUGCUGGAAAGUGUUCCUAUCUCAGGUUUUAAUUACACGUAUUUAUACAGUAAAAAAUUCCUAAAUGCAGCAUAGCCUGUAGUAUGCAACAAUUUUGAGCAUUUAUGAGAUUCAGGCAAUUAAGAGUCUAAACUUUCAAAUGUUUCCAGAUGGCACACUGAUUAACAAUUGUGCGAAUUUAAUAUUUGUUUAAAUGCACUACUCUGUGAAACACUUCUUAAUAGUAGAUGAACGCGUUGGAAUGAAUCUAGGAACAACUUUUCUUCAAGCACAACUUGCCUCCUUGCCUGAAGAAGUGGAAAUCUUAUUAGCUGAUUAUAUAGACCAAAAGCAGAAGCAGAGAAGUGGUAAGAGAUGAAAAAGACAAAAUAGAAGCCAAGCUAUUUUUUCACUAAUGAACAUUUCUUCUUUCUCUUUAGACACAGGUCCCAUGGUAUUCAUGCAAGCCACUUACAACAUCAGUCUCCCUGCUCUUGCAAGUGAACCUACUUGUAAGGACAUUUCCUUGGGGCUAAUGGCUUUAUGAAUGUUGACAUCUGUUGCAUGCAGUAAAUUGAAGAUGCAGUCUCUCUCCAGAUAUAACAGAAAAGGAACAGGACCUAAGGAGAACUCCAAACCUUCCAGACUGGUCACUGGAGCACAGAUGAAGGAACUAAAAGUAUUUUCCAGCAAGACCACUUCUGGUGCAUCAGUUCCAAGUUCUUCUGGCAGGAAAGAUCUUCCUGUGGUCACACAGCAUCUGACAUCUUCCCCAUCAUGUGCCCCAUGUUACAAAGCCCACUGCAUUGAAGAUGAAACCACAGGGAUUAGUCCUGAUUGUACAAUGCCAUGUGAACACGAAGGAUGUUUAUAGUUUCAAAAAUAUUUCCUCUUUCUCCCGGGCUACAUUUUUCAGACCAAUCCUGACCUGUUUUGUAAAAGAAGAUAUAUUCAGUAAGACCACAGACCAUCCACAGAGCUUUUUGGUCUCCAACAAUCUCCAGUUAAUGACUGCCUGUUGGGAAAAAGCAUAAAAAGGAAAAUGUACACUGAUGUUCCCACAUUUUAGCUUUCCAGCUUCCUACAAUCUGUGGCUAUGCAGUUUCCUGACCUGGGGGUUAUUUCUUUGUCUAUCACUCUGUGGUGGAUUUUCCUUCCAUGUUUUUAUCUAAUUGCUUUUUGAACCCGUGAAAACUUAUGACACUCACAACAUCCCAUGGCAAUGAGUUUCAUAGUUUAAUUACGUGCUUCAUGAAAAAGUGUUUUCCUUUAAUCAUUUUGAACCCACCUUCAUUUGAUACCUCCAAGAUUUUGUAUUACAAGAAAUUGCUCUUUCUUCACUCUUUCCAUGUUUGUCAUGAUUUCAUUGGCAUCUGUCACAUCCUUGAAAAAUUACUUUCCUUGCUGAAGAGACUCAUUUUAGUUUAUCUCCCUUAACAUGGAACCUCUUUCAUAUCUUUAAGUAUCUUGGCUAUUUCUUUCUUUAUUUUAUAUUUUUUUUACCCUGUUUAUAUAGAAAGACAUCUCAUACAGUAAUUUGUACCUCCCUAAGCAUCAUUUUAUCAUUCAAGUACAGGAGAACUUUAUACCCACUUUUGGCUGCAAAGAUGUGAAUCUGCAGAGAGUUUGGUUCUCCACAUUCAAUAAAUAUUAAGCAGUUUCUAUUUAUCAUGGAAAAAAUUCUAUUCUGGCUUGUGAUGUG
ensembl:lncRNA